GUAAAUAAUUAAGGGCGUAUGGUGGAUGCCUAGGCUCUCAGAGGCGAUGAAGGACGUGAUAAGCUGCGAAAAGCUCCGUUUAGGUGCAAAUAACCUUUGAUGCGGAGAUCUCCGAAUGGGAUAACCCAAUAUGUUGAAGACAUAUUAUACCGUAAGGUAGGCAAACGCAGGGAACUGAAACAUCUAAGUACCUGCAGGAGAAGAAAACAAACGUGAUUCCCCCAGUAGCGGCGAGCGACCGGGGAAAAGCCCAAACCGUUAUUGUUUCGGCAUUAACGGGGUAGUAGGACUGCAAGCUUGAUGAAAUAAAUGAAAUGGAACACCUUGGAAAAUGUGAUCACAGAGGGUGAUAAUCCCGUACAUGCAAGUUUAUGAAUCAUAGCAGACUCCUGAGUAAGUCGGGACACGUGUAAUCCUGACCGAAUCCGCCGGGACCAUCCGGCAAGGCUAAAUACUCCUGAGAGACCGAUAGUGAACCAGUACCGUGAGGGAAAGGUGAAAAGCACUUCGAACAGAAGAGUGAAAUAGUCCCUGAACCCAUACGCCUACAAGCAGUCGGAGCCGCUUCGUGCGGUGACGGCGUGCCUUUUGCAUAAUGAGCCUACGAGUUACUCAUCACCAGCGAGGUUAAGUACUUCAGGUACGUAAGCCGAAGCGAAAGCGAGUCUGAAUAGGGCGUCAAGUUGGUGGUGGUAGACGCGAAACCUUAGUGAUCUACCCAUGGGCAGGGUGAAGGUUUGGUAACACAAACUGGAGGCCCGAACCGGUAAACGUUGAAAAGUUUUCGGAUGACCUGUGGGUAGGGGUGAAAGGCCAAUCAAACUGGGAAAUAGCUCGUACUCUCCGAAAUGCAUUUAGGUGCAGCCUCUGUUGUUUUGUUCUAGAGGUAGAGCUACUGAUUGGAUGCGAGGGCUUCACCGCCUAUCAAAUCCGGCCAAACUCCGAAUGCUAGAACAUGAAGACAGGGAGUGAGCCAGCGGGUGCUAAGGUCCGUUGACGAAAGAGGGAGAACUCAGACCAUCAGCUAAGGUCCCCAAUUGUAUGCUAAGUUGGAAUUAAAACGGGGUGGGACUGCUUAGACAGCUAGGAUGUUGGCUUGGAAGCAGCCAUUCAUUUAAAGAGUGCGUAACAGCUCACUAGUCGAGCGGUCCUGCAUGGAUAAUACGCGGGCAUAAGCAUAUAACCGAAGCUAUGGGAUUGUAGAUGAUACAAUCGGUAGGAGAGCAUUCCAUUCAGCAUAGAAGCAGUACCGUGAGGUAUUGUGGAGCGGAUGGAAAAGCAAAUGUAGGCAUAAGUAACGAUAAUGCGGGUGAGAACCCCGCACGCCGAAAGAUCAAGGAUUCCCCGGCAAUGUCAAUCAUCCGGGGGUAAGUCGGAUCCUAAGGGUAAGCCGAGUGGCGAUCCCGAUGGCAAACAGGUUAAUAUUCCUGUACUGAUCAUAACUGCGAUGCAGCGACGCAGAGGUGACACUGCUGCGUACUGACGGAAUAGUACGUUGAAACCCGUAUUCUUUGAUACCGGUAGUGAAGCACGCCGGUAGAGAUGAAAGGUGAUAGUACCGCAAUGCUUCGGUUGCGCGGAUAACGCAGGUAAGCUGACUGCCAAGAAAACCUGCUAAGCUUCAGGUAAUGAUCAUCCGUACUGUAAACGGACACACGUGAUCAGGUAGAAAAUACUAAGGCGCUCGAGAGAUUCAUGGUUAAGGAACUAGGCAAAAUGGUCCUGUAACUUCGGGAUAAAGGACGCUCUUGUGAAAGAGCCGCAGAUAAUAGGCCCAGGCGACUGUUUACCAAAAACACAUGGCUAUGCUAAUUCGCAAGAAGAUGUAUAUGGCCUGACACCUGCCCGGUGCCGGAAGGUUAAGAGGAGAGCUCAGAGGCAACUCGAAGGUUUGAAUUGAAGCCCCGGUAAACGGCGGCCGUAACUAUAACGGUCCUAAGGUAGCGAAAUUCCUUGUCGGGU
rnacentral:rRNA from 1 species